CCAUUAAGUAUGUUUUCAGAUAAAGAUAGGACAUGCAAAGUUAGUAAUUUAGUUGGCAACCAAUUUUGUAUAUGCAAAGAUCCCUAGUGAAAAAUGAAAUUUAUUAUAUUAAGUUGAUUUUAAUGUAAGGUUCGGUUAGGAAAUCUGACAAAAAAACUACGAUUCAAAGCACUGAAGUAAACAAUUAUUAUUUCAGUAUUUAAUAACCAUAGUCAGUGGCACUAGGUAUGAUUAAAUUUAAAAUUCAUAUUUGAAUGAGUAAGAAUUAAGUUUUAAAUCUAAUAAUCCGUAUCAUAACAUUUUUGGUUUGGUGUUUUCAUAUGGAACGACCCCAAAGCAAAUAACUGUAAGCAAUUGGAACCUCUUUUCCGAAUAAUACUGAAUUUAGUAAAAGUUAUUAAUGCAAAUACAUUUACGACAAAUAAAAUGAGAUUUUCUAACAGAAAAAAAGUAGCAGAAUUGUGUUUUCUCUGUAAUUAAAUAAACAAAACACGAUAUAUUGUACCGUCCAGCAUUUUCAAAGAUUAUCCGGACUGAAUUUUUCCGAAAGCUGGGAGCACGGAAACGACAAUGCCAUGAUUACGACAAAAGAAACAAUAGUUUUGAAUCGCUUCUUUCCGGACAUCGCAAAUCGCUGCUCACAAAAUAAGUCGUAGUUUAUUCCAAUCUCUAUAUUCAAUCCUACUACGAAACGAAACGCAAAUGACGCAGAAUAAAGAAGGAAGAUCCGUUACAAGAUAUCACCUACUAAAUAUCACGAGGAUAUUAGCUGAUGUUUCGAUAAAAUAGUGUGACGGUCUCAGGAAUCGUCGUUCAAAGACAACAUGAAAAUCACCAAAACAAUAACUUUGUCUACCUUGGUUUAUUUUAUUGUUGACUUCCUGAGAUGGCUGAGUAAAAACUAUAAUCAUUUUUUGUCGUAUUUU